rnacentral:rRNA from 1 species
AUUGAACGCUGGCGGAAUGCUUUACACAUGCAAGUCGAACGGCAGCACGGACUUCGGUCUGGUGGCGAGUGGCGAACGGGUGAGUAAUGUAUCGGAACGUGCCCAGUCGUGGGGGAUAACGUAGUGAAAAUUACGCUAAUACCGCAUACGAUCUAUGGAUGAAAGCGGGGGAUCGCAAGACAUCGCGCGAUUGGAGCGGCCGAUAGCAGAUUAGGUAGUUGGUGGGGUAAAGGCCCACCAAGCCAACGAUCUGUAGCUGGUCUGAGAGGACGACCAGCCACACUGGAACGGAGACACGGUCCAGACUCCUACGGGAGGCAGCAGUGGGGAAUUUUGGACAAUGGGCGAGAGCCUGAUCCAGCCAUUCCGCGUGCAGGAUGAAGGCCCUCGGGUUGUAAACUGCUUUUGUACAGAACGAAAAGGUUUCUACUAAUACUAGGAGCUCAUGACGGUACUGUAAGAAUAAGCACCGGCUAACUACGUGCCAGCAGCCGCCGUAA